rnacentral:rRNA from 1 species
AUGGCGACCUCGCCGGCGCUGCUCUCGCGGCAGUACGCGCGCCCCUCCCAUCCUCUCCCCCGCCAGCUCCUCGCGCCUUCGCCCGUCGCCGUCGCAGCCUCCCCUGCGGUGCGGCUGCGCGUCCGCCGCGGGCCUACCCCGGCCCAAGCCAAGUUCGGCAAGUUCGACGCCGCCGACGCUCCCACGGAGGCCGGGCCGACUGCGCCGGCGACAUCGGAGGCCGACGGCGCGGCGGGGAAGGCGGUGCUGGAGGACGACAGUUGCCUGCCGUCGGAUCUGGAGGGCGCGAUAUGGCAGUCGGGGAAGGCGAGCGCCGAUUUCGUCAACUCCGGCGGCAUGCGAGGAAUUGCAGAGCUGCUGAUCCCUCAGUUGGAGUUCCUCAACCAGGAAGGAGCGCAGGCUGAGGUCUGGGCGCUGUCGAGGAUACUCCUCGACACACUCGCGGAAGAGACCGGCCAGGUAGUUAAGGCCGUCUUCCCUGACGCUGGAGUGGCUGCCCUUCUCAAGCACCAGUGGAAAGAUGCAAAGUUCAAGUGUGCUAGUCUUAGCGACCGAAAGCCAGUUGAUACUGAUGACGGAGUUGUUGUUAUGAUUAUCCCUGACCACCAGAUGCUUGAAUCUGUUGAACGCAUCGCAUCUCAACUCGCUGAUGAUCCCAUAAGACCUCUUGUCAUGUGGAACCCACGUCUUGUUAGUGGAGAUGUUGGAGUGGGAUAUAAUGUUCGGAAUCUACGCAGAAAUUUCUUAAGUACUUUUACCACUGUUUACUCGAUGAGGCCGCUGCCUACCGGUGCAAUCUUCAGAUGCUAUCCUGAAAAGUGGAAAGUGUUUUAUGAUGAUCCAAAAAGACCCAACCGGUAUUUGCUUGCCAGAGAAUCUUCAAGUCGUCCUGAUGCAACAGAUAUUGAGAUAAUAUUUGGCGGUGGCGGCGCCAGCGAGCAACCUGAAGAGGAGCCUUCGAUGAUGACCAAUGUCAUGGCCGCGUUUAGCUCCGUGAGCCGGUUUAUGAGGGUCAUCUCCAAGUGA